rnacentral:rRNA from 1 species
UACGUAGGGGGCAAGCGUUGUCCGGAAUCAUUGGGCGUAAAGCGCGCGUAGGCGGCCCGGUAAGUCCGUUGUGAAAGUCAAAGGCUCAACCUUUGAACGCCGAUGGAUACUGCCGGGCUAGAGUACAGAAGGGGCAACUGGAAUUCUCGGUGUAGCGGUGAAAUGCGUAGAUAUCGAGAGGAACACCUGCGGCGAAGGCGGGUUGCUGGGCUGAUACUGACGCUGAGGCGCGAAAGCCAGGGGAGCGAACGGG